CAUCCAUUGUUCCACCCUUUGGUGAGGUGAAAGCUGUUUCUGCACACCAAGGAAAGGUUUUAUUAAGUUAGUAAUGACAGGCAUCCUCACCCCAUUACCACCCAAAGGUCAGAUCAGAAGAGACACACG